rnacentral:rRNA from 1 species
GGGCCCGCACAAGCGGUGGAGCAUGUGGUUUAAUUCGAUGAUACGCGAGGAACCUUACCAGGGCUUAAAUGUAGUGGGACAGGUCUAGAGAUAGACCCUUCUUCGGACUCAUUACAAGGUGCUGCAUGGUUGUCGUCAGCUCGUGCCGUGAGGUGUCAGGUUAAGUCCUAUAACGAGCGCAACCCCUAUCGUUAGUUGCCAGCGAGUAAUGUCGGGAACUCUAACGAAACUGCCAGUGCAAACUGUGAGGAAGGUGGGGGAUGACGUCAAGUCCUCAUGGCCCUUACGGGUUGGGCUACACACGUGCUACAAUGGUAGUGACAAUGGGUUAAUCCCAAAAAUGCUAUCUCA